ACACUUACCUGGCAGGAGAGGCACCACGAUCACGAAGGUGGUUUUCCCAGGGCGAGGCUUAUCCAUUGCACUCCAGAUGUGCUGACCCCUGCGAUUUCCCCAAAUGUGGGAAACUCGACUGCACAAUGUAUGACAGUGGGGGACUGUGUUCACGCUUCCCCUGC
rnacentral:snRNA from 1 species